AAUUCCCUGGGGUGUGCGUCAGCCGGUUCAAGUCCCCGAGCCGAUAAUCAUACCCAACAGGAGUUCUAUCUUCUGACUAUUGCGCAUGCUCGGCCCGACCGAGAAGCCUGCGGCCAGUUUAG
rnacentral:sRNA from 1 species